CUCCUCGCUGUUCCUGCUGCUCUUCUUGCUUUUGAGGACUGCUUUCCUAUUUACUGUUACAGAUCUGAGAUGUCUAAAUUUCUGUAUGCAGAAUCACAAAAGAAUUUUCCCUAAUUCUUCAGAGACGUUGAAAUCCUUUAACUCCAGUGAGCUUUCACUCCAUGAGAGUCUUAAGCUGAAGGUUCCAUAACGGUAGCUGUUCUUCGAGGUAUGAAGAAAUUUUCAUUUGAGAGAUUUAUAGCCUCACAGCAAUCUCAGGGUGAUACAGGAACCUUACCAAAGGUUUCUAUUUUUCUACUUAGAAAAGAAUUACAGGAAAGAGAUUGUUCUUGGAAUCUGUUAGACCCAAUUCAUAAAUGUUGAUUAUUUAUUUGUUAUGGGAAAAGAUAUAAUGUAGCACUUGGCAUUUUUCUGUGGCAUUUGUGAUGGCUAUUACUGAAAAUAAGAGGACAAAAUAAAAAUUAGAUAUGCAUCAUUCUCA